rnacentral:lncRNA from 1 species
UAUAAGAUGCUAGUGAACAAUCUUGAGUUAAAGAGUUAUAAAGGUUUUUGCAUUGGGACUUUUUGUUGGUUGGUUACUUGGUUCAGUAGGCAAGCAAGGAAUAUUGGAGUACUGUAUUAGCUUUUGGUUAUACAAAACAAAGCACAUUUUGGCUUGUUUGUGCAACUUUUUUGUUUGAUGAAAUACCCAUACCAGAUUUACUGGCUUGAUUAUUAAAAAAAAGAUUUACUGGCUUGGAAUACUCUACUAUCAUAUCAUUGAUUGUUGUGUUGUUUGUUGCAAAACAUUGACAACCACUUUCUUUGAAAAUGUAUCAUUUAUAGUGGUAUAGAACCUGAUGGUUUCACAUCGCAUUUGUUGUUCUCCUU